CGCGCAGGCGGCUAUUUUUGUCAGGCGUGAAAGCCCCGGGCUUAACCUGGGAACAGCGCUUGAGACGGGAUGGCUAGAGAUCGGGAGAGGAGAGUGGAAUUCCCAGUGUAGAGGUGAAAUUCGUAGAUAUUGGGAAGAACACCGGUGGCGAAGGCGGCUCUCUGGACCGAUACUGACGCUGAGGCGCGAAAGCGUGGGGAGCAAACA
rnacentral:rRNA from 1 species